CGCCUUUCGACCUAAUAUGAAAGGUCCAGCCUGCCCAGUGAAUAUUUUAACGGCCGCGGUAUACUAACCGUGCAAAGGUAGCACAAUCACUUGUCCUUUAAAUGAGGACUUGUAUGAACGGCACCACGAGGAUUUAACUGUCUCCCCCCUCUGAUCUGUGAAACUAAUCCUCCUGUGAAAAAGCAGGAAUAAGUCUAUAAGACGAGAAGACCCUAUGGAACUUCAAACAAAUAACACCUGCUCCACUAUUAAACUUCUAAGCACUAACACCCGUGAGCAUGCUGAUUACGAGUUUUCGGUUGGGGUGACCACGGAGAAAAACCCACCCUCCACGAUGAAAGACCUAAAUUCUAAACCACAAGUUACAACUUUAAGGAUCAAAAAACUGACAUUAUUGACCCAAAAUUUUGAUCGACGAACUUAGCUACCCUAGGGAUAACAGCGCAAUCUACUUCAAGAGUACAUAUCGACAAGUARGCUUACGACCUCGAUGUUGGAUCAGGGUAUCCUAGUGGUGUAGCCGCUACUAAAGGUUCGUUUSUUCAACGAUUAAAACCCUA
rnacentral:rRNA from 1 species